AUUGAACGCUGGCGGCAUGCCUUACACAUGCAAGUCGAACGGCAGCACGGGAGCAAUCCUGGUGGCGAGUGGCGAACGGGUGAGUAAUAUAUCGGAACGUGCCCAGUCGUGGGGGAUAACGUAGCGAAAGCUACGCUAAUACCGCAUACGAUCUAUGGAUGAAAGCGGGGGAUCGCAAGACCUCGCGCGAUUGGAGCGGCCGAUAUCAGAUUAGGUAGUUGGUGGGGUAAAAGCCUACCAAGCCUUCGAUCUGUAGCUGGUCUGAGAGGACGACCAGCCACACUGGAACUGAGACACGGUCCAGACUCCUACGGGAGGCAGCAGUGGGGAAUUUUGGACAAUGGGCGGCAAGCCUGAUCCAGCAAUAGCCGCGUGCAGGAU
rnacentral:rRNA from 1 species